GGGGGGACCAUCCUCCAAGGCUAAAUACUCCUGACUGACCGAUAGUGAACCAGUACCGUGAGGGAAAGGCGAAAAGAACCCCGGCGAGGGGAGUGAAAAAGAACCUGAAACCGUGUACGUACAAGCAGUGGGAGCCUCUUAAUGGGGUGACUGCGUACCUUUUGUAUAAUGGGUCAGCGACUUAUAUUCUGUAGCAAGGUUAACCGAAUAGGGGAGCCGAAGGGAAACCGAGUCUUAACUGGGCGUUAAGUUGCAGGGUAUAGACCCGAAACCCGGUGAUCUAGCCAUGGGCAGGUUGAAGGUUGGGUAACACUAACUGGAGGACCGAACCGACUAAUGUUGAAAAAUUAGCGGAUGACUUGUGGCUGGGGGUGAAAGGCCAAUCAAACCGGGAGAUAGCUGGUUCUCCCCGAAAGCUAUUUAGGUAGCGCCUCGUGAAUUCAUCUCCGGGGGUAGAGCACUGUUUCGGCAAGGGGGUCAUCCCGACUUACCAACCCGAUGCAAACUGCGAAUACCGGAGAAUGUUAUCACGGGAGACACACGGCGGGUGCUAACGUCCGUCGUGAAGAGGGAAACAACCCAGACCGCCAGCUAAGGUCCCAAAGUCAUGGUUAAGUGGGAAACGAUGUGGGAAGGCCCAGACAGCCAGGAUGUUGGCUUAGAAGCAGCCAUCAUUUAAAGAAAGCGUAAUAGCUCACUGGUCGAGUCGGCCUGCGCGGAAGAUGUAACGGGGCUAAACCAUGCACCGAAGCUGCGGCAGCGACACUAUGUGUUGUUGGGUAGGGGAGCG
rnacentral:rRNA from 1 species